CCCACAUUCACCUCCAGGACUUUCCUCUUUCCCUUGGGCACGUGCUUGCCAUCUGCUGGGCUAUGUGUUCCAUGAGGUUAGAGGCUGUGGCUGCCAUGUCCACCACUCUGUUUCUAGCACUGAAUCAGGGCCUGGCACCCAGAAACUACAGAAUAAAUAUUUAUUGAGUGAAUGCCUAGAGACUAAUCAUCAGCGACGUAAUCAUGUUAUUUGUCCUUUUCUACAACAAAUGUUUCUCAAAGGUCAGAAAUGAGAAGAUGAAACCAGGACCAACGUGGAUUAAAUAGAGUUUGUCUCUUCCAGAAUCAAAGCUGUAAAACUACAAAUCAUUCUUCAAAUGGAGCCCCAGAUGCAGUCCAUGACUAAGAUCUACCAUGGACCCCUGGACCGGCCUGCUAGCCCAUGCUCCGAAGUUGAUGACAUCGAAGGCACCCCUCCCAAGGAAAUUUCAACUGCACGACCCUUACUAUGCCCCAAUUCAGCAGGAAGCAGUUAGAGCUGUCGUCAGCCAACCUCCGCAAGAGCACUUGGGUUUUCCUGUUGAGAGGGGCUACUAAGAGACAGGACUAGCUGGAUUUCCUAGGCCAACUAAGAAUCCCUAAGCCUAGCUGGGAAGUUGACCACAUCCACCUUUAAACACGAGGCUUGCAACUUAGCUUACACACAACCAAUCAGGUAGUAAAGAGAGCUCACUAAAAUGCUAACUAGGCAAAAACAGGAAGUAAAGAAAUAGCCAAUCAUCUAUUGCCUGAGAGCACAGGGGGAGGGACAAUGAUCGGGAUAUAAACCCAGGCAUCGGAGCCGGCAAUGGCUGUCCCCUUUGGGUCCCCUCCCUUUGUAUGGGAGCUCUGUUUUUACUCUAUUAAAUCUUGCAAUUGCAAAA
rnacentral:lncRNA from 10 species